AACUCCUGAUCUAGGUUAAAGGUCUCUGAAGCCUAUAGGUCUGUAUUCAUUACUUCCUCAAAGGAAAAUUAACAUCAUAUUUCAUCGCCACAUUUGUAAAUAUCUCAUUAUCAGAAUUAAAUGUGAUAAAAAUGAUACUAAAUACUUCAUUCCAAAAUGUUUGAUCUCUUAAGGAAAUAGCUUUUGUCAAGAUUAAACAUUUUAUCCUUUCUGAUUCUGUUAGGGUAAAAGUUUACUUAAGUGAUUUGUUUGCAAAUAGUUUGAAGCUUUGUUGUAAAAGCAAAUGAGUUUAAAUUGCUCCAGUCAAUGGGUGGAUCCAGCCCCCCCUCCCCUUUUGUGGGAAAAAUUUGGUUGAUUAUAUAGGGAAUCAUUGAAGCAUGACUGGAGCGGGCCCCCACUUACGUCAGGCAGGCCCCCCCCAUAGGAAAAUUUCUGGAUCCGCCACUGCUAGUAUUGUAAUUUUUAUACAUUAGUAAAAUAAUUUAUGUAUGCAUACUUAAAAUUUUGUGUAACUAUUUCUCUAUAAUUGUUUGUUAAAGAUAAGAAGUAAUUCUCAUACUGAAAUAUAGCCUUAGGUUGUGGUUGUUUAGCAUCUUUAAUCAAUAAAAAAUGGCUACCAUAAUAUAUUCGAGUCUGUUGGAAAUGUUGUUAAACAACAAUCAAUCAAUCAAUUAUAUUAUGACAAAGUUUCUGUCUUUUUUUGUACUGACUAAAAUCAAAUGCUUCUAUAAAUAGAUAAUUUGAGAAGUACAGACCUCCAAGAAAAAGAUGACAAGUUCAUGUCACUAGCUGAAUAUUACAGUUUUAUGAACUGUUUGUUUAUAUUUUUGUUGAUGUCGUCGAUUUCAUACACAUGAGGUUUUGAAGGGAUGAUCUUGAUUUUGUCUCAUUUAUCGUAAAAUGUUGAGUAUAACAUCAAAAGUGUGGAUAUUUUUAAUGUGCAAUAUAAAAUACUGGUAUGUGAUGUUAAAGUGUAUUUUGUGUCUCUCUUAUAUGUUAUUAUAAUCUUUUUUCUAAAAUAUUUCUAUAUUAUAGUUGGUCAUUUUAAUAUUGUGGGUACAGAUUAUUGUAAUUCAUUUGGUUAUAAAUGAAAUUACAUUAUUUUCAUUUUCUUUCAUCUUGCAUUGGUAAUUUAACUUUGAUUCCAGAGAAAUUGAAAUUAUGACCAGAGAUGUAUGGGGGGAGUAUGAUGAGAGCCAUUAUUUGACCUUUGAAAAUUUGGGCGGAAGAAAUUUUUCUGGACACUAGGAUUAAGCCCUUAUUUUUGCAGGAAUUUUGGAUUUACACUUAUGGGGAAUAGGGAGUUAAUUAUCAAUUUUGGGUACAGGUGAUAAAUGCUUUAUUUUUUACGGGAAUUCAUGUUUUUGUGUUAAGGUUUCCAAGGAAUAAUAACUGACAGACAAAUAUAUAUAUUCUAAGUAUGAAAUUUUAUUUUAUUUUCAAAAUUUUGGCCUUUUGUACCCUCUCCAUUACCAACUUUCUAUUUGGCAUUUAUUUCCAGUGUUGAACGUAGAAUGUAUAAAUCAUGCUAAACAUGAUUAAUUGUAGAAUAUUUAAAUCAUGCUAAACAUGAUUAAUUGUAGAAUAUUUAAAUCAUGCUAAACAUGAUUAAUUGUAGAAUGUUCAAAUCAUGCUAAAAUUGAUCUAUCAUGUCAAACUUAAAAAUUUGCAUUUAGUCUUUAUAUUAAUAAUAAAUUUGGCAAAGCCAAGAUUUCUUUUUGUAUUGAAUUGUGUUGUUAACAUUUUAUGCUUCUGUAUGUAGCUUAUUAAUCAAUUGUAAAUAUUUCUGAAAUAUUUAAUACUUUGUCGUGAAUGUGAUGAAUGAUAAUUUAUUAUUUAUGUUAAAAUAGUUUUACAUAUUGUUAGAGGAUAUAUCAACUUAUUACACAAACGUCACAAUAUAUCUGAUAGUUCUAAAGACUGAUGCAGAUAGUAUUAUCUGUAUCUAAUCAGUGCACCAGUAAUAUAUAUGUACAAAAUGUAUAUUAUGCUUUGCAAAUUGCUUUAUCAAAUUCAAAAGUGCAGAAAAAACCGGAUAGUGCAUUUUUUUAGUGCUGUUGUAACUAUAAAAAGAUAUUAGCCUAUAGAACAUUCUCAGAGAAAUUAUAGAAUUUAAAACGCAACAAUGAAAAUAACUAGAUAUAAUUCGUAAAUGUAAGCUUUGGUUAAACUAAAUGAAAACUCAAUUUACUAAAGGGGUGCAUGGCUAUUCAUUCUUGUAACGGGUGGUAAUCUACAAAUAUCAUACAUGGAAAUUAUGUAAAAAUGCUUUGUUUCAUAACUGCCAUUACUGUUAGUCUUACCUCAGUUUGAUUAUGAAUGAAAGUUUUAAUAGUAUCAUUUGUUGGAGUUAUCUAAAUUAAGAAUUGUAAUAUUUCUUUACAUGAAUAGUGUUGCAUUGUAUAGAAAUAACAGUUUUUCUAUAAAAUAAACAUAAGUUAACAUUCUGUAACCAUGGAAAUAUGAUUGUUUACAGCCGACCAUUUACUUCAUUAUACAUUCCUUGAAAUGUUUUGAUGUUAACUUUGGUUUUUAAAUCAACAAGUUUUGGUCUAUGUGUAGAAAGAUGCAGUAACAUUAUUAGCUUUUCCUGGUUUUUGUGUUUGUAAAAACCCCAAAUGUUUUAUAGUUGUGAGAAAUAAGAGAAAAGCAGUAUCUAGAUGAAGUUCAGUUAUCACUAUAUUAUGUUUAUAUAUAUAACUUAUUUGAAGCCUAGUAGAUAAUCCAUUUUUGAAAUUUUUAGAACAUAAUCAGAACUUAUCAUGUUAUAGUUGUACACAGUUUAUCAAAACCUAAUUUAUGAUUUCUGUUGGUAUUUACCUUUUUGAACUUUUACCAAGGUUAUGGUAAGUUGUUAUUGUGAAAAUGAAGGGUGUGAAAGUGUUGAAUGCUAUUUAUUAUCCAUGGCAUGUGUUGUGUUUUUGUUAUUAAAUGAAUUUUAAUAA